GGAUAUAGCAUAUGCUCCUUUUAUGGAAAGAUUUCAACCUUUUCUAGUGGAAGUGAAAAAUUAUGACAUUACAUUGGGCAGACCUAAAUUGGCGGCAUGGAUUGAGCUUCAAAACAGUUGAUAGAUCACUUGAGGAAUGAGUAUGAUAAGGUUCUUGAACACAACAAUGACAUGAUUUUUGGUGAAUUGAGGCAGAGGAAUGUGAAUAGUAGUUCUGAGGAUUUAGUUGCUUCUCUGGUGGGUGAUGAAGGUGAAAUUGGGAAGGGCGAUGAUAGUGUGAAGGCGAGUCCGGUCGAGCUCGAGACGCCGAGAAAAGAAACUGAAAGGAGUGUCUACAAAAUCGAAAAAGGUGGAAUCGGUUGACUGGAAGUGGAUAAUGGAAGAAGAUCCAAAUUUGAAAUACAAAACACAUUGUUCUCAACUAUACAGAAAAUGAUGUGUUAGAUGAUGGCUGUUAAGUUUUGAUAACUUUUGAGUUGACUAAUUUGUAAUUGUUGCAGUACAACUCUGAGCCUGAAGCUGUUGACCUUUUAAUGGAGGUAACAUGUUGAGGACCUUGACAUGUUGAAUGAAUAUAUAGACAAAACAAAUUUUAAGAGGACUUGCCUGUAUCUCACCAGUUCAGCUAGAUACCUUCCUGAACCGAAUGACAUGAAAGUUCUGGAUCUUGCCUAUUCAAUUUAUUUGAAGUUUGAAGAAUAUCCCAAUGCUCUUCGAAUUGCAUUGUUCAUGGAUAAGAUGCAGGUGUGACACUGGAAUUUUGUCAGUCUGUCUUUAAAAGUAUUUCUUUAACUGUGUAUGCGAAGAAGGUGUUUACUUCUUGCAAUGAUGUGCAUCAAAAGAAGCAAUUCUGUUACAUUAUUGCACGUCAUGGAAUUGCUUUUGUGCUCGACAUAGAAAUGGCUGGAAAUGAAGACGGCAGAGAAAUGUUGCAGGAUAUCUUAUACAAUUCUAAGUUAAGUGAAGGAUAUCUAGCUCUUGCUCGUGAUCUUGAAGUCAUGGAGGCCAAGUCCCCUAUGGAUAUAUACAAGCUAUUUUGAAGAUUGGCUUUUCAAACACGAGGAACACGGGAGGACUAGUGCUGUAGCAUGCCUGGGUAUGAUUUCGAUUUCACUCUGGGAUGUUGACUCUGGUCUGGCACAACUUCGCAAGUGCUUUCCCAUGAAAGAUGUGUAUGGCAUGAAAUAAAUAAAUGAUUUUUUUGGUGGAUAUGCAGUGUAAAAGUCUCUUAGAACCUGAAUGUUUAUCAUCAUUGACACUUUCGGCGCUUUCCGAACUGCCCAACAAGUGGUAUUAGAGUCAUGGUUAGACUCGUCAAAACCACGGGCGUGGUAUUUUGGCCAUGGAUGAAUCCAAUGCUACAUGUGGAAAGCGGUUGGAUUCAAUUGGACUAGAGAACACCGAAGCUAACCGUCAAGCAUGGCGUAAAAUUAUAUAUGAAGAAAGUGUUAUGACUUAGUUAAAAUAUAAUUUUUAUGUGUAUGAUUUUAUAAUACUUGAAAUAUUA